UACGGGGGAUGCAAGCGUUAUCCGGAAUGAUUGGGCGUAAAGCGUCCGCAGGUGGCGAUGUAAGUCUGCUGUUAAAGAGUCUAGCUCAACUAGAUAAGAGCAGUGGAAACUACAUAGCUAGAGUACGUUCGGGGCAGAGGGAAUUCCUGGUGUAGCGGUGAAAUGCGUAGAGAUCAGGAAGAACACCGGUGGCGAAGGCGCUCUGCUAGGCCGUAACUGACACUGAGGGACGAAAGCUAGGGGAGCGAAUGGG
rnacentral:rRNA from 1 species